AGGAUUUUUUAAAAAACUGCAGAUUAUUCUAGAAAUUUGCCACAACAAUCCAAGAACAGUCCUCUAUAGCUCUUAGGGAGUAUAAUGAUGCUAACUGCCAGGGUCCAAUCUGUUGGAAGAAGAGACCACAUUAUUCUUUAGGAGUUUAGCUACUCAUUGUGACAUCACAAGGCCCACCCUUAAGUGAGGGCUGUUGCAAGUGUUGGGCAGCUGUCGAUGAGCAGAGACAAGACUCCUCUUUCUUCUGUCUUGGGAGGACCAGGGUCAUAGAGAUGGUCAUCUUUGAGGAGAAGUGAUUGGUAAUGAGGUCUGAGGCCUGGGUUGUGAAUGUUCCUUGAAGUCAGCCCAUGUGAUGCUCUCUCUAAGGUUUCUCCUUGGAGUCUCUUCCUGUGGGGUGGCCAUGGGGACACAUCGGCUAUUUAACAGCGGAAGAAGAGAUUCGUGGAGACUGCUAAGAUCUGUGUAAUGCUAAGCUGAGUUCCUCUGAACUUCUGUGGAGCUGGCAUCACGCUAAGUCUUGUCUGCUAGCCUGCCAGCUUAGCUCCCCUCAGCCGUUAGCUGCAGACAGUCCCUAGGUCCUUCAAGUGUGGUGCCUGGCACAGUAACAGUCACACUUGCGAUGCUUUUGUGAACCCUUAAGAGCAGAGUCUUCUGAAGCCACAGGGCCGCCAAGAUACAGUGUUCCCCACUGGUGAUGGACCAGCUGUGGAGGAAAUGAAGAGAGUCACACACAGCUGGGUGACUGGCAUGCAAGCUCCCUCUGUGCUCCUUGGAUUUAGUCACACCCAGAUCUCUCCAAUAUCCAAAUCGAGCCAACAUCUGGAUUCUCAGGUCUGGUUCUGAAGUCAGCCUGUGACAUGCUGUUUGGACUAGAUUGCAUUAGACGGAAUACAGACUCACAGAGGGUAAAGACUUUCUUUGAGACUUACUACCAGCCUCAAUCUGGAGAUGAGAGACAUAGGGCAGGGUACCCAAGCGGAACUGGAGGAUAGUCAGAUCUGUGUCAUUCACUCCAAGGCUCGGGUGGAAACUGUGAGAUUCCAGCCAUUAAGUCAAGUUCCAGCUCUAACACCUCAGAGUCCUGUGGCCUUCCUUGUCAUCAUGGGGUCAUCAGUAUAACAGCCAAAGAUGGACGGUAAAGUCUACGCAGUCAAAGGGAGUGUAUGAAGCUUUUUAUGAAAACAAAACAAAACAAAACA